rnacentral:lncRNA from 12 species
GGCCUAUAUUGUACUUUCAGUAUAUAUAUAUAGAUAUAUAUAUAUGGAUGGAGGGUUACAGUGCAACACUGUUUUUAUUUAUUUAUUUAUUUUUUAUAUUCCAUCAGGAGCAUAAGCAACAGCACCAACUCAACAGGUGUCCCUUCAAAAAAUGAAGGAGGAAAAUGUUUUUUUAAAAGCUAAAAUUAAAUUCUUAGAGGACAAAUGCAAGGACAUCGAAAGUGAGAGAUUUCCUGCGUAGCAGUCUGACCAAUGGUAAAUUGUUUUAUCUCUAAAAUACUUUACAACCAGUUAUACGUUAUAUUUGGUAAUGUGUACUACAAAUAGAUAUUAAUUUGUUUUUUACUGUGGAAAAUGUACAUAGUCCACAUUAUAACAUAUCCUGGCAUAAGAUGGAGCAGGUUACUGUAGUCUGAAGCCUAUCUGUUGUUGUUGUUUUAAAUUAUAUUUUGUGGUUUUCGUUAACAAAGGUAGCAGAAUAUUAACAUUUAACAAUAGCAUUAGACUGGAAGUUGGCAAAUAUGGAAGAAAUUAAAUGUGUAUGUAAAUAUGAUUUGGUUUGUAUUCCUUAUCAGCCUUGUCAGCAAAGGAAGACAUGAUGGGAGCUUCCUGCAAACCCAAAUAUGAUGAUCCUGUGUCACAGUCUUCCAGUACAGAAGAUGACCUUCAUACAGAACGGAAAAAGAAGACAAAGAGUAGAGGAAAAGUUGAGAGGAAAAAAAAACAUUGCAAAGUUGACUCAUCGUCCUCCUCUGAAUCAACCUCAUUCUCAUCUCAAUCCUCUUCAUCCCCUGCACCCCGAAAAUCCAGCAAAAAUAAGGAUAAAGCCAAGAAAAGGAAUGGGAAAAAAAAGCAGAAAUGCACAAGAGUCUUUCUUCCAGAGCAAGCCAUUAAGAGAUACAAGAAGGUCUUGGGCUAUUUGAAAGGUGGAACCACAAAAACACAGGCGUACUUCAAAUGUGGCAUGGAUAGAAAGACAGUUAUGUAUACUGCUGCAGUUGCAGAGCUCGAAGCAUGUGACAUCGAGGCCUACAAAAAUUUGCGUGGCACCUUCCAAAGAGGACAGAAACUGUCUGAUUUUGCAGAGCGGUGCAGAGAAUUAUGCAGACAGGAGCCACUGCAAAGCACCAUUGAAGAAACAAAGAAAGCUGGCAUGCUUAUUGACUUUUGUGAGAGACAAAAAUAACCUGUGUGUUUCUUUGUAUGAUAAAUACCAUUCCAUGCAUGUUCUAGCUCAGUGACUACACACACAGCCACUUUAACUUUUUCUUGUUCCAUACCUCUUGUUUAAAUUCAGCCAUCAUAAAUAAGGCCAUGUGUCUAUAAACACUUACUUUAGCUGUUUCUUGUUCCAUGCUUCUGGUUAAGCAUUGUUCUUGUUUUCUAGUCAUGAUGAGUAAAUAUCAUGGGCAACCAAAAACUAAAGUCAUUUAACGCUUUUGAGGUUUUUGUUGAUUUUUUUAUUAGUAUAAUUUUAGAUAAUUCCUUCAGNACUAAAGUCAUUUAACGCUUUUGAGCUUUUUGUUGAUUUUUUUAUUAGUAUAAUUUUAGAUAAUUCCUUCAGAAGGAUGAAGUAACACUUGAGUAAUUACUAGUGGGUUACCAUGAUUCUUAUAGUAGUUAUUAUUGAAAAGAACCGUAUAACCAUUCACAAGACACACACACACACACACACACACACACAUAUAUAGAGGCAGUCAUGUCCUAAUGGUUAGAUUCAGACUUGUAACCCAAAGGCUGCAGGUUUUAGGACAUCGGGUUCAAGUCUGAUAUUAGGCUACUGAUAAUGUAAACAGGUUUGUGAAUUUGUUUGUAAUGCAGUUAAAAUGUUAAUGUACUCCUAGUCAUUUGUCCUGCAUUACUUAUUGUUUAGUUUUGCAUGAAUUAUGAAACUUUC